rnacentral:guide_RNA from 1 species
AAAUAAACAGAUCGUGGUAGAAGUGAUUAGAUUAAAUG